UCCUACUGCGUGGCGGCACGAGUUGCCGAACGUCCUAACCGACCUAUAUGAGUUAGCGACUUACGAAGGCAUUCAACAAUACACAAGAAAAAAAGAAGAACAAGCAGAGAAAAAAGUAAAGGACUGAUUUCAUUCAAGAUCAAAAGGAGUUUACAAAAUCGGGCCGAAGCCCAAUUACAAUAGUUCUGAGAAGUAAAACAAAAAAAAGAUAAAAACCGACG
rnacentral:lncRNA from 1 species